rnacentral:rRNA from 1 species
GACGAACGCUGGCGGCGCGCCUAACACAUGCAAGUCGAACGAGCGAGCGAGAGCUUGCUUUCUCGAGCGAGUGGCGGACGGGUGAGUAACGCGUGAGGAACCUGCCCUAAAGAGUGGGACAACAGAAGGAAACGACAGCUAAUACCGCAUAAGCCCACGGUGCCGCAUGGCACCGAGGGAAAAGGAGCCAUCCGCCGUGGGAUGGCGCCGCGUCCGGUUAGCUGGUUGGGGGGGGAAUGGCCCAUCAAGGCGAGGAACGGUAGCCGGACUGUGAGGCUGAACGGCCACAUCGGGACUGGGCCGCGGCCCAGACUCCUACGGGAGGCAGCAGUGGGUAAUACUGCACAAUGGGGGAAACCCUGAUGCCGCGACGCCGCGUGGAGGAAGAAGUUGUUCGGAAAGUAAACUCCUGUUGUAGGGGAAGAUAAUGACGGUACCCAACAAGGAAGCGACGGCUAACUACGUA